rnacentral:rRNA from 1 species
GGGUCUGCGUCUCAUUAGCUAGUUGGUGAGAUAACAGCCCACCAAGGCGACGAUGGGUAACCGGUCUGAGAGGGCGAACGGUCACACUGGAACUGAGACACGGUCCAGACUCCUACGGGAGGCAGCAGUGGGGAAUAUUGCGCAAUGGGGGAAACCCUGACGCAGCAAUACCGCGUGAGUGAAGAAGGUUUUCGGAUCGUAAAGCUCUGUUAUUGGGGAAGAAAAAAGACGGUACCCAAGAAGAAAGUCCCGGCUAACUACGUGCCAGCAGCCGCGGUAAUACGUAGGGGACAAGCGUUGUCCGGAUUUACUGGGCGUAAAGGGCACGCAGGCGGUUUUUUAAGUCAGAUGUGAAAGGUACCGGCUCAACCGGUGACAUGCAUUUGAAACUGAAAGACUUGAGUAUUGGAGAGGCAAGUGGAAUUCCUAGUGUAGCGGUGAAAUGCGUAGAUAUUAGGAGGAACACCGGUGGCGAAGGCGGCUUGCUGGACAAAUACUGACGCUGAGGUGCGAAAGCGUGGGGAGCAAACAGGAUUAGAUACCUUGGUAGUCCACGCCGUAAACGAUGAACACUAGAUGCCGGAG